rnacentral:rRNA from 1 species
UCCGGAGGAGGCAAGCGUUAUCCGGAAUUAUUGGGCGUAAAGCGUCCGUAGGUGGUGAUUCAAGUCAGCGGUUAAAGCGUGGGGCUUAACCUCAUACAGGCCGUUGAAACUGGAUUGCUAGAGUGCGGUAGGGGUCGAGGGAAUUCCCAGUGUAGCGGUGAAGUGCGUAGAUAUUGGGAAGAACACCGGUGGCGAAAGCGCUCGGCUGGGCCUGCACUGACACUGAGGGACGAAAGCUAGGGGAGAGAAAGGG